rnacentral:lncRNA from 1 species
UGGAAAGUUGACGGGCAAAACAAAAACACUGACUAGAUCAUUCUGCUGUGGCUGUGUAGGGUGCCCAGAAUCCGCCCGCCUACAUCCGCAACCUCCGACGGGAUGUGCGCAAACGUGUGCGGGCGCAGCUGGAGAGAGAACAACCUGUGCUGCUGCUGCAGGUGAGAGCAGGCACAGUUUCAAAGGGUUAUCGGGCCUUGAAUAAUGCGUCCUUGUUACGUCCUGGUAUUCAUAUAGCUCCACAGCUAUUCACCAGCUCCGAGGCAGAACUUGCAUGGGGCUGAUCUCUUUCCUAUGAAGGGGAAAGGCAAGGGGCAGCGGGCCGGUUUGGCUGUUGGAAUUUGAUUCCAUGGCAGAAGUCACAAAUCCCUCCUGGUGUCUGAGCUUCUUCGCGCCUGAGCAGAGGAUGUCUUACAAGAGCAUGCCCAGAAUAAAUUGCGCCUGAUAUGAGCAUUGGGAAAAGGUUGUGCAGGAGCACAUCCUGCCACACUGUUACCAUGUUUGUUGGUUUGAAGCGUUUUUGUGUGUGCAUAUGUUUUACCAACCUAGAUUGUACACUGACAAAGCGUGUAUGGGGAAGGGACUGUAGGUGCGCAAGAAUGGAACCAACCUCGCGGUCCAUCUUUCCUUAAGCGGCAGUCCUAGCGGGUCCGAGCUUUGUCGUUUGAUUUUACGCUACGUCGGCUGGCUAGCUGGGCUGGGGUUUGCUUGGGUUAGUGGGGCCAGGGGUGUGUUAGCAGGGGGCCUUGAAGGAACACAUGCAGCAUAGCAGCUAACAUAUAAUUUACUACUUCACCGCCACGUCGGUAGAUUUUCCGAUUUCCCUACAUUACGGUUUCCGAUACCCUCUUUUUGCCGCCUUAAGUCCUACAGUUCAUUGCUACGGUUUACUUGUUUCUCUGCUUUCAUUAAGACUUUCCUUUCAUCUCCGCGUCUAGGCAGUUUUUUGGGCGAGGCCCCGGGCGUGAACCGCCAUUCGGGGGACCGAGCCCCCGGUGCUCACUGCUGUCAGUCAGUCUGUCUGUCUUUCAGUGUGUCUGUCUGUCAGUCUGUCUGUCAGGGGCUUCCAUAUUUUGCUCUGCAAAAAGCUACAUCGAUUGGCCAAAGGAGAACAUUCAGAUAAAGCGGAGCGCGAAGAUAGCUUACCAUGGCUUCGAGGUUUGACUGCCCCUCACCUCGCAGCCCUUGCCUCUGACGUCGUUGCAUGUCCCUUACAUUAUAGAUUCAUAAGCAAACGGCAUGAUCCUUUAAGGGGUUGGUUCCUUCAUGCUUGGCAAUUUAAGACCGACCCAUGGCAACGCUCUAAGCACCUCCCUCCUGGCGUCUCGCUCGUGCCUGUUUGAUUGUUGUCCUUCUUAUUCUUUUUUUCAAUCAUUCAAUUCAAGUUGUACAUAAUAACAACAUUUCGAGGGCUCCGACAAGCCCGCGUAACUUCACUUCAUCAAAACGAAUUGUGCCUUUGCGACACACCGUCAGCUUUGCCUCUGCAUUCCGACUUCAAAAUGUGCGAUUGGAACGAUCCUCGAAUGCGUUCUGGCUGGGAGCGGAAGCACGGGCACUUUGGCGCGCCUUGGACUGCCAGCGAGCAGACCGAAAGGCCGUCGUCGAAUCUAGAUGCAACGGGUAGUACCACCUAC